UGGCUCAGAACGAACGCUGGCGGCGUGCUUAACACAUGCAAGUCGAACGCGAAAGGGACUUCGGUCCUGAGUAAAGUGGCGCACGGGUGAGUAACGCGUAGAUAACCUGUCUCAUGUCUGGAAUAAUACGCCGAAAGGGGUACUAAUACCGGAUAUUCUUGCUUUUCAUAAGUUAUGCAAGCAAAGGUGGCCUCCGCAUAUGCUACUGCAUGAAGAGGGGUCUGCGUACCAUUAGCUAGUAGGUGGGGUAAUGGCCUACCUAGGCGACGAUGGUUAGCGGGUCUGAGAGGAUGAUCCGCCACACUGGCACUGGAACACGGGCCAGACUCCUACGGGAGGCAGCAGUGAGGAAUAUUGCGCAAUGGGGGAAACCCUGACGCAGCGACGCCGCGUGAGUGAGGAAGGCCUUCGGGUCGUAAAGCUCUGUCAAGAGGAAAGAAGUGUACAAUGGCUAAUACCUGUUGUAUUUGACGGUACCUCGAAAGGAAGCACCGGCUAACUCCGUGCCAGCCGCCGC
rnacentral:rRNA from 1 species